rnacentral:rRNA from 1 species
GAUGAACGCUGGCGGCGUGCCUAAUACAUGCAAGUCGAGCGAACAGACGAGGAGCUUGCUCCUCUGACGUUAGCGGCGGACGGGUGAGUAACACGUGGAUAACCUACCUAUAAGACUGGGAUAACUUCGGGAAACCGGAGCUAAUACCGGAUAACAUGUUGAACCGCAUGGUUCAACAGUGAAAGACGGUCUUGCUGUCACUUAUAGAUGGAUCCGCGCCGCCUUAGCUAGUUGGUAAGGUAAAGGCUUACCAAGGCAACGAUGCGUUGCCGACCUGAGAGGGUGGUCGGCCACACUGGAACUGAGCCACGGUCCAUACUCCUACGAGAGGCAGCAGUAGGGAAUCUUCCGCAAUGGGCGAAAGCCUGACGGAGCAACGCCGCGUGAGUGAUGAAGGUCUUCGGAUCGUAAAACUCUGUUAUUAGGGAAGAACAAAUGUGUAAGUAACUAUGCACGUCUUGACGGUAACUAGUCAGAAAGCCAUGGCUAACUACGUG